CGGUGCAUAUCAUGUGUGUGAUGUGAUUUAUGGCUGUUAGAUCUCUAUCGGCCAUAAAUCACAUCACACACAUGAUAUGCACCG
rnacentral:pre_miRNA from 1 species